CGUGUAGGCGGCCAGGUAGGUCCGUUGUGAAAACUCGAGGCUCAACCUCGAGACGUCGAUGGAAACCAUCUGGCUAGAGUCCGGAAGAGGAGAGUGGAAUUCCUGGUGUAGCGGUGAAAUGCGCAGAUAUCAGGAAGAACACCUAUGGCGAAGGCAGCUCUCUGGGACGGUACUGACGCUGAGACGCGAAGCGUGGGAGCGAACA
rnacentral:rRNA from 1 species